rnacentral:rRNA from 1 species
AUGCACGAUCAACACCACAAGAAAGCCAAACAUGGCAUGUCGAUUUUUUCCCCAAAAUAUAUCCGAGGGGUACAGUCAGUACCACCAACCUUUGCAGACAGCAUAUCCUCCAAGCCUUUGGGAACAGUAGUUCAACCUUUGCAGACAUACUUCCAUGUCUUCGGCUUCAGCAGCAUAGGCUUAUCUACACAGAUUAGUCAUGUAAAACUUACAGUUAGAAGAACAUCAUUAAAGAAAGAAAUGAUGGAUUUAGAUAAAGGAAUAUCUGACUUGCUCCAGUUUUCUGUCGUCCUACAAGUGAUGCUAUUAUCAUUAUCUGACUAG